rnacentral:rRNA from 1 species
CCUACGGGAGGCAGCAGUAGGGAAUCUUCCACAAUGGGCGAAAGCCUGACGGAGCAACGCCGCGUGGGUGAAGAAGGUCUUCGGAUCGUAAGAUCCUGUUGUUAGAGAAGAAAGUGCGUGAGAGCAACUGUUCACGUUUCGAUGGUAUCUAACCAGAAAGCCACGGCUAACUACGUGCCAGCAGCCGCGGUAAUACGGAGGUGGCAAGCGUUUUCCGGAUUCAUUGGGCGUAAAGGGAACGCAGGCGGUCUUUUAAGUCUGAUGUGAAAGCCGUCGGCUUAACCGGAGUAGUGCAUUGGAAACUUGGAGACUUGAGUGCAGAAGAGGAGAAUGGAACUCCAGGUGUAGCGGUGAAAUGCGUAGAUAUAUGGAAGAACACCAGUGGCGAAAGCGGCUCACUGGUCUGUAACUGACGCUGAGGUUCGAAAGCGUGGGUAGCAAACAGGAUUAGAUACCCUUGUAGUC